rnacentral:rRNA from 1 species
UACGAAGGGGAGGCUAGCGUUGCUCGGAAUCACUGGGCGUAAAGGGUGCGUAGGCGGGUCUUUAAGUCAGGGGUGAAAUCCUGGAGCUCAACUCCAGAACUGCCUUUGAUACUGAAGAUCUUGAGUUCGGAGGAGGUGAGUGGAACUGCGAGUGUAGAGGUGAAAUUCGUAGAUAUUCGCAAGAACACCAGUGGCGAAGGCGGCUCACUGGCCCGUAACUGACGCUGAGGAGCGAAAGCGUGGGAGCGUAACGAGGAACUGAUGAUCCCCAG